rfam:Serratia sp. Leaf50 contig_11, whole genome shotgun sequence.
AAGUAUUGUCUUUACUUAUCUAACUGUGAUAACUCUGUAGGCAAUCGUUCGAAAUAAGAAAUUAAGAAACCUAAAAAUGAAAGCCCUCGUCCUAGUACUAAGCCUAGUCGUUAUUCGUGUGGUGGUGAUUAUUAUCCCACCGUGCGGGGCUGCACUUGGACGAAGAAAGGCUUAAUAAACAAGCCUGAACCUGAAAAGAACCCCCGCACCGAAAGGUACGGGGGUUUUUUUUUGGUCAGAUUAAUUUGUAGCGGAAAGAGGCGGGAGAAAAUAUGAACAACAGCAUAAUAUUCUGCGCUAGUAGCCAAAA